UCACUUUAAAUAUUAUGUCACAGAUAAGUAAUUUGUUUAGACAAUUUGGAAGUAAUUCAAGUGAUUAAAAAAAAAAGUGAUAAAAAUGGAAUGUGAAUAGUGACUAUAAUUUGAACCCUUUUAAUGUAGUGAAAAAAGUACUCAUCAACAUACAUAAGAUCUUUAUGAAUUAAAUUCUUCUGGUUUGUCAUGGAAGUUUCUCAGCUUAAGAAUUAAGAUCUUCACAAGUUUAAAAUAAAAUAGACUUGGAAAGACUUUAAGGCUAAGGAAAGAAAUGAGCGUUGCAUUAUUACGCAAAUUAUUGCUUAUCUUUGAUCUUUGAUCUUUGAUAGUGCUGUCUGCCCGUGUAAAGUUGAAGAUUUGCAUCUAAUGGGUAUGUUGGACUGACGUGGAUUGCGGUUUCUUUUUUAUUCUACUAUUCAAAAGUUUAAGUUACUGUAGUCAAAUUUCAGAACUCACUCGGUAAGGCCUCUCACGGUUCCAAAAACCAAAGAAAGAAAAGUAAAAAAUGAAAGUGCUAUUAUUUCAGUUUAAAAACAAGACAUUUUUAAUUGCUUUAUAAGAAUUAAGAAAAAUAGAUAAAAGUGAUCUGCAUCAUUAAAAUUGUAAAAAUUAUCUCUAUUUUCAAGAUUAAUAUCCAAUUAAAAUCAAUUUAUCUUAAUUGCAUUUAAUUUCUUUUUACAAUGUAAUUAAUAAGGACAUUUGUGAGAAAGAAUUUAAUGUUAUCAAUUUUUAAAAAGUAUCUUAUAUUUUAGACCAACAUUAAUAAAAAAAAUUGUCAUAUUUUUUGGAAGGGAGGAAGUAUAAAUUAUUCGGGUCCUGGUAUUAACAUUUAACAAUGGGAUUUGGAAAGUUAUUGCACAUAAAUCUUCAAAACCAUGAACUUUAUAUAUAUAUAUAUAUAUAUUAACCAUGGGUUAAUGAAUAUAACUAAUCGGGUGGUUUGAGCAAUGCAGUCAUGUUGCCCACUUCACUUGUUUGGGCAAAUGCAAAUCUUGUAUCCACCAAAUUUGUUAUUGUUAAAUUAAUUUGUUAAUUUAAUGUCCGAACUGCAAUAUCAAUGGAAGGACUCGCUGACGUGUGUUCCCUGUUUCCUAUAUCCUCAUCGUUAGUAACUGCUACCCCCGCAUUCAAGGCGUUGCCUCUGCAUCGUUACUCGUAUCUUCUCUCUCCUUAGAGAUCGAUUGCUUGAAGAAUCCAAACGCAAAGGCAAAGCAGAACUCUUGCAAGAGCCAUGAUAUGAAUGAAGAUUUGCGGUUUAUCGGAUAUCAUCCCCUUCAAAAUUAGUAAAAGUUAGUUGUGAUGUAAUUCUAAUCGUAAUAGUAAUACUAAUUAAUAAUUGUUGGAUAUAUUUUCUUUCACUGACACAUGGGUGUCAUAGUUUUCGUCUUCGAAGCGACUAUUUUCAGAGUCAGGUUGCGGCAUUGGGAAGCGGAAUGCCCAUGGCUAAACCCUCGCUUUUCAGAUCAGAGCUCCCGCCAAUGGCCCCGGAUCUCUCCUCGGAACGCUUCCGUGGGGUUGGUUCCUCCUCCUCGUCACGACAACGCGACCUCGUGUUUGUCGUCAAUCCUCGAGGCGCUAAUGGUCGGACGGGUAAAGAGUGGAAGCAGCUUCUUCCAUAUCUACAGUCACGCUUUGGUAAAGAAUGCAAUAUAUGCGAAUCCUUAACUUCAGGUCCUUGCCAUGCUAUUGACAUUACGAGAGAGGCUAUACGGGAGGGGGCUGAUGCAGUCGUUGCGGUCGGAGGUGAUGGAACUCUUCAUGAGGUGCUAACGUUUUCUGCAUGCUUUCUUUUUUUCCUUCUAUGUAUGCUCUUCGCAGAUGAUAUAGUUCUUAUAGCAGAAACAAGAGAAGAGGUUAAUUGCAAACUUGAGUUAUGGAGGAGGACAUUGGAGUCGAAAGGUUUUCGUCUGAGUAGAAAUAAGACGGAAUAUUUAUAUUGUAAAUUUGGUAAAGGACUAUUCGAAAAUAAUUUGGAAGUGAAAUUGGGAGAUCAAAUUAUACCUCAAGUGGAAAAGUUUAGAUAUUUGGGAGCCAUUAUUCAAAAUGAUGGCGAAAUCAGUGGAGAUAUUUCACAUAGAAUUCAAGCUGGGUGGUUUAAUUGGAGAAAAGCUAAAGGAGUUAUUUGUGACCGUAAGGUGCCUAAUAAACUUAAAGGAAAGUUUUAUCGUACUGCUAUCAGACCGGCAAUGUUAUAUAGUAGUGAAUGCUGGGCUCUAACGGGACAGCAAGAGCAUAAAGUUGGAGUAGCAGAGAUGAGAAUGUUACGAUGGAUGUGCGGACAUACACGUAAAGAUAAAAUUCGAAAUGAGCACAUACGUGAAAAAGUGAGGGUGGCACCUAUUGAGGAAAAAAUGGUAGAAAAUCGGUUGAGAUGGUUUGGGCAUGUACAAAGAAGACCAAGGGAGGCACCAGUGAGAAGAGUGGAACAUAUAACUUUGAGUCCGAUUAAGAGAGGUAGAGGAAGGCCUAAGAGAACACUCUUGGAAGUUGUUGAACAUGAUCUCUUAAUUAAUAAUAUUUCUAAAAGCUUAAUAAAUGAUAGAGUACAAUGGCGUCUUGCAAUCCAUGUAGCCGACCCCACCUAGUGGGAUAAAGGCUUGUUGUUGUUGUUGUUGUUGUUUUCUUUUUUUCCUUCUAUACGAGUUUCUUUAGCGUCAGCCCCCCUCUUUUGUUUUCUGUAUGUUUAACUUGAGUAUGUAGACUGAUGAUCUAAAUCGAUGGAUUGCUUGUCAUUCAUUCAAAUUACUACACAAUCAGGGUCGGAAGCAAAAUCAUUUUGUAAUUUGUCUUGUCUGAAUUGGUCUGUUCUAAAAUCUUUUCAUUGGGUUGCUAAUAUUUAGAUGGUAUUCUGCACCACUGUUUCUGGAAUUUCAACAUCCUUGUUAUCUCGUAGAAUUUGAUUUGAUAGAAUUCUCUUCACUCACUACGACUUAAGCAGGUUGUUAAUGGUUUCUUCUGGGCUGGAAAGCCUGUUGCCAGUCAUGUUAAAGAGCCUUCACAUUCAACUGCUCUUGGUCAGAAGAUAUAACUAUGUUCUGCCUUUGUACAGCUCAUUCCCCUGGGUACUGGUUCUGAUUUUGCAAGAACAUUUGGGUGGAAAAAUGAUCCUUACGAAGCCAUUGAACGCAUUUCUAAAGGGGUGAGAUCAAGGAUAGAUGUUGGUGUCAUCACUGGAGAAAAUGGAGAAGAUCACUACUUC